rnacentral:rRNA from 1 species
CAGCCGCCACGGUAAUACGAAGGGGGCUAACGUUGCUCGGAAUGACUGGGCGUAAAGGGCGCGUAGGCGGCGGCCAAAGUCAGGCGUGAAAUUCCCGGGCUCAACCUGGGGGCUGCGUUUGAUACUUGGUUGCUUGAGUGGGGAAGAGGGUCGUGGAAUUCCCAGUGCAGAGGUGAAAUUCGUAGAUAUUGGGAAGAACACCGGUGGCGAAGGCGGCGACCUGGUCCUUUACUGACGCUGAGGCGCGAAAGCGUGGGGAGCAAACAGGAUUAGAUACCCCCGUAGUCCCUGUCUCUUAUAC